AUGGCACCAAUUACCGAGUGCCUGAGGAAGGGAAAGUUCCAAUGGACAGAAGCGACUGAAGCUAGUUUCAAUGAGGUCAAGCAAGAACUCUCACAAGCUCCUGUCUUGGUGCUACCUGAUUUCAACAAGACUUUUGAGUUGGAGUGUGAGGCAAGUGGAGUAGGCAUUGGAGCUGUUCUAUCUCAAGAAAGGAAGCCCAUUGCUUUCUUUAGUGAGAAGUUAAGCGAAGCUAGACAGAAAUGGAGUACCUGUCAGCAAGAACUGUAUGCCAUUUUCAGAGCCUUGAAAACUUGGGAAGUCUAUUUGCUGCCUAAAGAGUUCAUUGUUUAUAGUGACCAUCAAUCCUUGAAGCAUUUUAGAAAUCAAAAGCAUGUUGAUCGCGUGCGCUAG
rnacentral:rRNA from 1 species